UAAAAGUUUGAUUCUAGCUUUAAGAUUUAUUAAAAAUUUAUUAAUACAUGUAAGUUUUUGUGUGGAUAAUAAUAUUAUUUUAAAAAUAAUAUUAUUUUUAUUUUAAUCUCAGUAUUUAGAAUUAAAUAUUAUAGAAAUAUAGAUUUAGUAAUAUUUAAUAUUAUUAGCAAAAAUUGUGCCAGCAGCUGCGGUUAUACAAUUAAUGAAAAUAAAUUUUAUAAGUUAAUAGUUAAUAUAUAAAUAAAUAUUAUAUUGUUUAAUUUUAAGGUGAAAUUUAUUUUAAGUAUAUAAUAUAUUUUGAUUAUGAGGCUAUAAAAAUUAAAAGAUAAACUAGGAUUAGAUACCCUAUUAUUUUAAUUAAUCUUUUAUACUAAGGUAGUAAUAGUUAUAGGCUUGAAACUUAAAGAAUUUGGCGGUAUUUUAAUCUUUUCAGAGGAACCUGUUCUAUAAUCGAUAUUCCACGUUUAAUUUUACUAAAUUUUAGUUUGUAUACCGUUGUCGAAAGAAUAUUUUUAUAAAAUUUUAAUUUUCUAAUAUUUUUAAAAUAAUAGAUGUCAAAUCAAGGUGUAGCUGAUAUUUUAGAAGAAAUGGGUUACAAUAAAAUUAUUUAUACGAAGAAAUUAUUGAAAUAUAAUUUGGAAGGAGGAUUUGAAAGUAAAUUGAUUUUAAUAAAGUUAAUUGAUUGUAGCUCUAAGAUAUGUACAUAUUGCCCGUCGCUCUUUUUUAAAAAAAGAUAAGUCGUAACAUAGUAGAUGUACUGGAAAGUGUAUCUAGAAAGAC
rnacentral:ncRNA from 1 species